GCGGCGCCUAUCGGCGGCAGCGCGCGCUGAGCCGCGGGCGCCCGGCGGGCACCGGGAGCGGCUCCCGGGGCGGGCGGCGACCCCCGGCCAGCGAGCGGCCCGCGGCCACCGCCACCCGCCGGCCGGCGCCCGGCACCGCCCGCCUGCCUGGCACCCAUCGCCGACCACCGCCCGCCCGCCGCCCGCGGUGCGGGCGACCCCGGCGCCGUGCAGGAACGUGUGCGUGUUUCCAGCGCUACCACGUUGGGUUGGGAAGCGCUGGGAGAAACUGGCAUGUUGUCCCUCAUCAAUGGUCCUGCGCUGGGAGAAACUGGCAUGUUGUCCCUCAUCAAUGGUCCUCCGUUCCCACUUGGUCGGGGCAUCUGGAACACUGGGCUAGCAGAAACUGACCGGGGCGAGGGAGUAGGUAACACUCGGGAGUUGUUAAUGAUUUUGAAUUCUUGACUACAAAAUGUAUUGGAAUAAAUUAGGGGCGGCUGAGAUCUAUGGAGGGAUUAGCUGGGUGUCUGUGAUUAGAGCAUCUUUCCCCCUUCCUGUAUUAUUAAAUUGCUCCUGCCGUUUUCAAUGACACUUCAGUGCUGUGAUGUAAAUUAUUGAGCAAGGGCAGACCCUUCACCUGUGCUGGAAGGGCCCAAUCCCACAGAGAGCAACUUCCUGCCCCCCUUCCUGGCUUGGCAGCCCCAGGGGCAUCCCCACUCUUGUCCCUGUGCAGUCCCUGGCUGCCCUUCCCCUGGAAAACCCUGUCUUGGGCAGGCAGAGUGUUGCUGUUGGAUUGCAUGGAGCUGCUGUCCUUGCUGCUUCCCAGGGAGCCCCAUGGAUGGGACAGUCCCGUGGGAUUCUGCAGGUGUGAGUGACCUUGGCAAGUGUGGUUCCCUCUCAGCUUUUGCCUUCUUUGCCCUUCUGCACUGAUUUUGGGACCGAUAGGUGCCCAGGUCCUGGGAGGUGUCUCGGAACGGGGUUGUCACCCCCUGUGAUAGUUAUUGGCUGUGCUACACUUGCACCUUCAUCC
rnacentral:lncRNA from 1 species